GACGAACGCUGGCGGCGUGCCUAACACAUGCAAGUUGAGCGACGAACCAGGGCUUGCCCUGGGGCAAAGCAGCGAACGGGUGAGUAACACGUGGGUAACCUACCCCGAUAACCGGGACAACCCGAGGAAACUCGGGCUAAUACCGGAUGUGCUCACUGGACUUCGGUUCAGUGCGUAAAGGAAGCUUCGGCCUCCGUAUCGGGAGGGGCCCGCGGCCCAUUAGUUUGUUGGUGAGGUAACGGCUCACCAAGACCGCGAUGGGUAGCUGGUCUGAGAGGACGAUCAGCCACACUGGGACUGAGACACGGCCCAGACUCCUACGGGAGGCAGCAGUGGGGAAUCUUGCGCAAUGCGCGAAAGUGUGACGCAGCAACGCCGCGUGGGGGAAGAAGGCCUUCGGGUUGUAAACCCCUUUCAGGAGGGACGAAGGUUCGGCGGUGAAUAGCCGUCCGGACUGACGGUACCUCCACAAGAAGCCCCGGCUAACUACGUG
rnacentral:rRNA from 1 species